rnacentral:rRNA from 1 species
UACGAAGGGGGCUAGCGUUGUUCGGAAUUACUGGGCGUAAAGCGCGCGCAGGCGGUCUUCCAAGUCAGUGGUGAAAGCCUGGAGCUCAACUCCAGAACUGCCAUUGAAACUGUUAGACUUGAGUACGAGAGAGGUGAGUGGAAUUCCCAGUGUAGAGGUGAAAUUCGUAGAUAUUGGGAAGAACACCGGUGGCGAAGGCGGCUCACUGGCCCGUUACUGACACUCAUGCGCGACAGCGUGGGGAUCAAACAGG